GAUGAAGAACGUAGCGAAAUGCGAUAACUAAUGUGAAUUGCAGAAUUCAGUGAAUCAUCGAGUCUUUGAACGCACAUUGCGCCCCCUGGUAUUCCGGGGGGCAUGCCUGUCCGAGCGUCAUUGCUGCCCUCAAGCACGGCUUGUGUGUUGGGCUCCGUCCCCCCGGGGACGGGCCCGAAAGGCAGCGGCGGCACCGAGUCCGGUCCUCGAGCGUAUGGGGCUUUGUCACCCGCUCUGUAGGCCCGGCCGGCGCCAGCCGACAACUCAUCAUCCUUUUCAGGUUGACCUCGGAUCAGGUAGGGAUACCCGCUGAACUUAAGCAUAUCAAUAAGCGGAGGA
rnacentral:misc_RNA from 1 species